GAUGAACGCUGGCGGCGUGCCUAAUACAUGCAAGUCGAGCGAACGGACGAGAAGCUUGCUUCUCUGAUGUUAGCGGCGGACGGGUGAGUAACACGUGGAUAACCUACCUAUAAGACUGGGAUAACUUCGGGAAACCGGAGCUAGUACCGGAUAAUAUUUUGAACCGCAUGGUUCAAAAGUGAAAGACGGUCUUGCUGUCACUUAUAGAUGGAUCCGCGCUGCAUUAGCUAGUUGGUAAGGCAACGGCUUACCAAGGCAACGAUGCAUAGCCGACCUGAGAGGGUGAUCGGCCACACUGGAACUGAGACACGGUCCAGACUCCUACGGGAGGCAGCAGUAGGGAAUCUUCCGCAAUGGGCGAAAGCCUGACGGAGCAACGCCGCGUGAGUGAUGAAGGUCUUCGGAUCGUAAAACUCUGUUAUUAGGGAAGAACAUAUGUGUAAGUAACUGUGCACAUCUUGACGGUACCUAAUCAGAAAGCCACGGCUAACUACGUG
rnacentral:rRNA from 1 species